ACAAGGUUUCCGUAGGUGAACCUGCGGAAGGAUCAUUAAUGAAUUCACUAUGGAGUUGUUGCUGGCCUCUAGGGGCAUGUGCACGCUUCACUAGUCUUUCAACCACCUGUGAACUUUUGAUAGAUCUGUGAAGUCGUCUCUCAAGUCGUCAGACUUGGUUGCUGGGAUWUAAACGUCUCGGUGUGACUACGCAGUCUAUUUACUUACACACCCCAAAUGUAUGUCUACGAAUGUCAUUUAAUGGGCCUUGUGCCUAUAAACCAUAAUACAACUUUCAACAACGGAUCUCUUGGCUCUCGCAUCGAUGAAGAACGCAGCGAAAUGCGAUAAGUAAUGUGAAUUGCAGAAUUCAGUGAAUCAUCGAAUCUUUGAACGCACCUUGCGCCCCUUGGUAUUCCGAGGGGCAUGCCUGUUUGAGUGUCAUUAAAUUCUCAAACUCACUUUGGUUUCUUUCCAAUUGUGAUGUUUGGAUUGUUGGGGGCUGCUGGCCUUGACAGGUCGGCUCCUCUUAAAUGCAUUAGCAGGACUUCUCAUUGCCUCUGCGCAUGAUGUGAUAAUUAUCACUCAUCAAUAGCACGCAUGAAUAGAGUCCAGCUCUCUAAUCGUCCGCAAGGACAAUUUGACAAUUUGACCUCAAAUCAGGUAGGACUACCCGCUGAACUUAAGCAUA
rnacentral:rRNA from 1 species